AACGAACGCUGGCGGCGCGCCUAAUACAUGCAAGUCGAGCGAGAAGGUGUAGCAAUACACUUGUAAAGCGGCGAACGGGUGAGGAAUACAUGGGUAAUCUACCAUCGAGUGGGGAAUAACCAGCCGAAAGGUUGGCUAAUACCGCGUACGCCUCCGAAUCUUCGGGUUCGGAGGGAAAGCCACACUGUGAGUGCGGCGCUCUUUGAUGAGCUCAUGUCCUAUCAGCUUGUUGGUAGGGUAACGGCCUACCAAGGCUUUGACGGGUAGCUGGUCUGAGAGGACGAUCAGCCACACUGGCACUGCGACACGGGCCAGACUCCUACGGGAGGCAGCAGUAAGGAAUAUUGCGCAAUGGGGCGAAAGCCUGACGCAGCGACGCCGCGUGGGGGGAUGAAGGUCUUCGGAUUGUAAACCCCUUUCGGGAGGGAAGAUGGAGCGAGCAAUCGUUCGGACGGUACCUCCAGAAGCAGCCACGGCCAACUUCGUGCCAGCAGCCGCGGUAAUACGAAGGUGGC
rnacentral:rRNA from 1 species